rnacentral:rRNA from 1 species
GAUGAACGCUAGCGGCAGGCCUAAUACAUGCAAGUCGGACGGGAUUCAGGAGCUUGCUUCUGAUGAGAGUGGCGCACGGGUGCGUAACACGUAUGUAACCUACCUUUAUCAGGGGGAUAGCCUCUCGAAAGAGAGAUUAAGCCCGCAUAAAAUCACAGCACAGCAUUGUGUAAUGAUCAAAUAUUUAUAGGAUAAAGAUGGGCAUGCGGAACAUUAGCUAGAUGGCGGGGUAGCGGCCCACCAUGGCGACGAUGUUUAGGGGAUCUGAGAGGAUGGCCCCCCACACUGGUACUGAGACACGGACCAGACUCCUACGGGAGGCAGCAGUAAGGAAUAUUGGUCAAUGGGCGGAAGCCUGAACCAGCCAUGCCGCGUGCAGGAAGACGGCCCUACGGGUUGUAAACUGCUUUUAUACGGGAAUAAACCCAGAUACGUGUAUCUGGCUGAAUGUACUGUAAGAAUAAGGAUCGGCUAACUCCGUG